rnacentral:rRNA from 1 species
GACGAACGCUGGCGGCGUGCCUAACACAUGCAAGUGGAGCGACGAACCAGGCUUCGGCCUGGGGCAAAGCCGCGAACGGGUGAGUAACACGUGGGUAACCUGCCCUGAUGAUUGGGACAACCCGAGGAAACUCGGGCUAAUACCGAAUGUGCCCUCCGGCCUCAAGGCCGCUGGGGAAAGAAGCUUCGGCCUCCGCAUCGGGAUGGGCCCGCGGCCCAUUAGCUUGUUGGUGAGGUAACGGCNCACCAAGGCGACGAUGGGUAGCUGGUCUGAGAGGACGAUCAGCCACACUGGGACUGAGACACGGCCCAGACUCCUACGGGAGGCAGCAGUGGGGAAUCUUGCGCAAUGCGCGAAAGCGUGACGCAGCAACGCCGCGU